GUAAUUCAGACCUUGGAGCCACAAACACCCACGUAGUCGGGAAUCUCCAGGCCAGGCUGGGGAUUGAUUGCUGGCCCGCACCAUGGCGAGGUCAGUUGUUCCACGACUGAGCCGGUCCCCUGGAUGUCACCAUUGCCGUGGCCUCGCCUCCUGGCAGUCAUUCUCCAGAAGGACCUCAUUAGGCUGCCAGGGGAAGGCAUCCUGGCCGUGUUGUCAGACUCGCUCUGCCAGGCAUCACUCAGGCCUUGACUGAGCCCCUGUGGGGGCCCUCGGACGGUUGAAGUCAUCUUUGUCCCUUCGCUUGUCACUCUGGAGAGGACAGUGGAGCCGAACUUCUUCCCUGCUGGGAGGCUCUCGGAGGAGUUUUCUAGGGUGAAGUUAUCUAUGGAAAGUCACACAACUACAGCUUGUUGCCAAUCUAGAGAAAGCCGAGAACAUUCCACGCACGUAGGACCAUCAGAGCCAGAGAGGCUUGGAAUCUGGUCCUGUGCCAGCACAGAGCAGGCCCAAGGAGGCCGCCUGCGGCCGAGCGAGGCCUGCCUCCAGCCCUGCCUCAGCCCCAGCUCCAGGGACAUCUCACAGGGGCAUCUUUUUCCUGAAAUAGCUCCAGACACCCGCCAACCCCGUGGCCUGGUGCUCGGGUGCGGAAGCGUGAGGGUGCAGGAAGGGAAAAGGCCGGGCUGGGCGCGCUCAGAGGCAGCCAUCGCUCCUGGGCUGGUGGGGGCACCCCGGGGCGGUGGGAGGGACGAGGGCUCUUGUGACUCUCGCCAUCGGCACGGCGCCCUUGCGGCCACUGACUCUGGCGGGAUGAGAUCCACCGUGUGGGUUUACCGACCUCCUCCUCAAGGACUGGGCCGCGGUGAUCCUUUGGAGUGUCCCUGGGCCUGGCACGGAUUUGUCGCUCAUGGGUGCUUGGUGACGGAUGGCGUGGAGCUCGGGUCCCGCUGCCCUGCCUCUGGCUCUGUGGACGAGUAUUCUAGGGCUCACAAGCCUCGCGCGGGGCUGGAGCCCCCCGCGACCGGGGGAGCAGGGGACGACAGUCCGUGGGGUCUGUCACGGCUGGGACAAGGACAGCCUCAGAUGGAAGCUUCCGGAGCCGUCUGGUCGAGCCCUGGCACACCGGUGGGGGCCCAGUAACUGUGGGAUGAAGGCAAGUGCUCGGCUGUCAGCCGCGUUUCCGUGUCAGGCGUCCAUCCGCCCCUCAGCGGGCACAUGAGGUCACGGCGGCCGGAAGAACACAGCACACGCUCUCCCUGUUGUCUCCGUGCGGCCAGAGGGAGGCACAGUGCCGGACACGGAGGGCGUCUCUGUAAACCCCGUCUGAACGCGGAGACAAAGGGGAUUUUAUAAACCACUUGCUUUUGCCAAACCAGCACAACUGCCCAAUCCUGGAGUGUGCAUGUGUGUAUACGUGAGGGGUGUGUGCGCGUGUGUUGGACACGUGCGAGUGUGCACCUGUGUCUGUGUGCACACAUACGUGGGUGGGGGGGAAGGGGACAGAGAUCAGCCCUGUGGGCUCCAGGGAUGGAGGCUGAGGAGGGUCCAGAGGGCCUGGCUGAGUCAGAAGCCAGUGGUCGGAGCAGAUGGAAAGGCAUGGAGAGCAUAGGACUGCUUCCGAAGAGGGGGCAGGCGAGUGACAGCUGCAGAGGGCAGGGGUGCGGGGAGGGGGGGGCCGGCCAGUGGGGCCGUGCCAUCGCCGCUGCCCGGAACAGCGUUUCC
rnacentral:lncRNA from 1 species